rnacentral:rRNA from 1 species
AAUCAACGCUGGCGGCGUGCCUAACACAUGCAAGUCGCACGAGAAAGGGGAGCAAUCCCUGAGUAAAGUGGCGCACGGGUGAGUAACACGUGAAUCAUCUACCUCCGAGUGGGGAAUAACUGAGAGAAAUCUUAGCUAAUACCGCAUAACACUUACGAGUCAAAGCAGCAAUGCGCUUGGAGAGGAGUUCGCGGCCGAUUAGUUAGUUGGCGGGGUAAUGGCCCACCAAGACGAUGAUCGGUAUCCGGCCUGAGAGGGCGCACGGACACACUGAAACUGAAACACGGUCCAGACUCCUACGGGAGGCAGCAGUGGGGAAUUUUGCGCAAUGGGGGAAACCCUGACGCAGCGACGCCGCGUGGAGGAUGAAGUAUCUUGGUACGUAAACUCUUUCGAUUGGGAAGAUAAUGACGGUACCAAUAGAAGAAGCCCCGGCUAACUUCGUGCCAGCAGCCGCGGUAAU